AACUCUCUCCUGUGGGUGGUGUCUUGAGUCUCUGCAACCAUGGACACAGGUGGCAGCAAUGUACUUGGAUUCCGACGAAGGGGGUGCCCAUGGCUGAGGCAGGACUGGGUUCACAGCCAUCCAAGUUAGCAUCUGGGAGAGUUGGCUCAUGCUCCAGAGAGCCUCCUCCCUUCAAGUCUUGGUGACUUGUCAGGGGAUUUUUAGCACGAGGUGGUUGCCUCACCAAGGGAGCAGCAUUCUUGGGCCUUGUAAACUGUCUGGACACCGCAAAGCAUUGAUGCCUCCCUGGACAGCAUGGGCCUGGCUCUGCCAACACAUCCGUCAUCCUACUACACACUUCCAGCAAACAGGGAUGAUGCUUUUCAUCCAAGGUCAAGGUUGGUGGGGAAGGGCUCUGUCUUGGCCCAUGGGCCUGCAGGUCUGUCUCUGAGUUGGGACAGCUGCUGGAAGGCCCCACUAAACUAAUGUAAGAUACUCGGAAAGUUUGUCACCAGGGGAAGAAAGCAUUCUGGACUGCAUCAUUGGUGUCAGAUUCCACUGUGUGUUUAGAAGGCACAGUUUGUUUCCGAGAGUCUCAAAAUGUAAGCAGCAAACACCCUGCCAAGCUGCAGACAUAGGGCAGAUACAGAGAGGGGUGAAGAACUGGAGCAACUGAAGGCACUUCCCAUGGAUGCUGCGGGGAGAGGACCUCUUCCUGGGAGCUGAGGGCCAGGAUCCCCCUGAGGCCCUCUCUGGUCAAAUGAAAAUGGUUCCUGUCUUAUAUAUUAGGUGAAAGUUUGGAUCUCUGUUCUGUAAACUGGC
rnacentral:lncRNA from 1 species